UACGGGAGGCAGCAGUGGGGAAUAUUGCACAAUGGGCGCAAGCCUGAUGCAGCCAUGCCGCGUGUAUGAAGAAGGCCUUCGGGUUGUAAAGUACUUUCAGUCGUGAGGAAGGUGUUAAGGUUAAUAACCUUAGCAAUUGACGUUAGCGACAGAAGAAGCACCGGCUAACUCCGUGCCAGCAGCCGCGGUAAUACGGAGGGUGCGAGCGUUAAUCGGAAUUACUGGGCGUAAAGGGCACGCAGGCGGUUAAUUAAGUUGGAUGUGAAAUCCCCGGGCUUAACCUGGGAAUGGCAUUCAAGACUGGUUAGCUAGAGUCUUGUAGAGGGGGUAGAAUUCCGAUGUGUAGCGGCGAAAUGCGUAGAGAUGUGGAGGAAUACCGGUGGCGAAGGCGGCCCCUGGACAAAGACUGACGCUCAUGUGCGAAAGCGUGGGGAGCAAACAGGGAUUAGAUACC
rnacentral:rRNA from 1 species